UUUUGAUUUGCAGUCUGAACUGACACUCACCUUUGUGUAUGACCUGGCUAUCCUCUGGAAAGAUAGGAUAGGCAGCCCUCCUGAAUGAGAGCUCCAAGACUCCCUCUAUCCCACAAGUAUGAGGAUCAAUGAUGAAGUGCAACUAGUGGUGAACUUCCGAAGAGAGAUGAAUUUCCAGGACCAGCUGGUGAUGUCCUACCCAGGUAUUAGAUUAUUCAGGUACUCAGGCUGUGAUUUCAUCUUUUGCAUUGCUGCGCCUCGUCAGCAAUCUGCCCUUCCCAUCAUCUGCAACCCAAGGGACCAAUUGCAUUUAGAUGUGGACCAUCAGGUUCCUACAGGAGGUUAA
rnacentral:lncRNA from 1 species